GAGGCUCAGACCCCAAGUUUGGGGGCUGCCUCUUCAGGAGCGAGAAGCUGGACCUGUAGCAGUUGACUGUGAGGUCAACUCCUCCUGCCGUCUUGAGCGACAUCCCUUGUCAAUGCUCAUUUUCUCUCCCUCCACCUGCGGUGUCAGAGUUCACACAUUGCACCUGCCCUCCUGGAGAUGUGACAUCAUUUUGAGAAAAGGGCCUUUUGUUUCUUAACUAGGCCAAGUCAUCCCUACCGUAGGGCCUUUGCACAUACCACACCUUCUUCCUGGAAUACUCUUUCCCUUUAUCUUUGCGUGGUUAUCUUCUCAUUCUGCUCUAGCAUAAAUGUCACCUCCUCAGGGAGGCCUUCCCAAACCACCCCAAGUAUAGUAGUCCCUGCCCUGUUCCCUCCAGUCAUACACAUUCACCUUAUUACUUUCUUCCCAGAACUUGUUUUUUGUCUGUCUGCCAGAGGAUCUGGUCGAUCUUGGUCCCUGCUGUAUCCCCAGCACCCAGACCAUUGCCCAGCACAUGAAAAAAUGGCAGAAAAAGGAAGCUGCAGCUUCUGCCCUUCUCUUGGAUCACUCACUCUGGGGCGAGCCCUCAACUGUAUCGUGAGAACACUUAAGAAACCCUGUGCAGACAUCCGCGUGGGGAAGAAGCAAGGCCUCCUGCUGACAGCUCUGCAUCAACCUGCUGGCCACGCGAGGGAGCCAUCUUGGAAGUGGAUCCUCCAGCCCCAGUCAAGCCUGCAGAUGAGUGCAGCCUCGGCCGGUGUCUCGAGUGCAACCUCAUCAGAGAGUCUGUCCAUGAACCACGCAGCUAAGCCACUCCCAAAUCCCUGAGCCACAGAAACUACGUGAAGAAAAACAGCCACUGCUACCCCUUCGAUGUCCCCAGAUUCGGCCUCCCCUACAAAUCUUCACACCUCUGCCUCCUUGAGCCCUCCAAAUAAAAGAAAC
rnacentral:lncRNA from 1 species